rnacentral:rRNA from 1 species
GACAGAGGAUGCAAGCGUUAUCCGGAAUGAUUGGGCGUAAAGCGUCUGUAGGUGGCUUUUUAAGUCCGCCGUCAAAUCCCAGGGCUCAACCCUGGACAGGCGGUGGAAACUACCAAGCUGGAGUACGGUAGGGGCAGAGGGAAUUUCCGGUGGAGCGGUGAAAUGCGUAGAGAUCGGAAAGAACACCAACGGCGAAGGCACUUUACUGGGCUAUUACUAACACUGAGGAGCGAAAGCCAGGGGAGCAAACGGG